UACGAAGGGGGCUAGCGUUGCUCGGAAUCACUGGGCGUAAAGGGUGCGUAGGCGGGUUUUAAGUCAGAGGUGAAAUCCUGGAGCUCAACUCCAGAACUGCCCUUUGAUACUGGGAAUCUUGAGUAUGGAAGAGGUGAGUGGAACUGCGAGUGUAGAGGUGAAAUUCGUAGAUAUUCGCAAGAACACCAGUGGCGAAGGCGGCUAACUGGUCCGGUACUGACGCUGAGGUGCGAAAGCGUGGGGGAGCAAACAGG
rnacentral:rRNA from 1 species